GACGAACGCUGGCGGCGUGCUUAACACAUGCCAGUCGAACGGAAAGGCCCUGCUUUUGUGGGGUGCUCGAGUGGCGAACGGGUGAGUAACACGUGAGUAACCUGCCCUUGACUUUGGGAUAACUUCAGGAAACUGGGGCUAAUACCGGUAGGAGCUCCUGCUGCAUGGUGGGGGUUGGAAAGUUUCGGCGGUUGGGGAUGGACUCGCGGCUUAUCAGCUUGUUGGUGGGGUAGUGGCUUACCAAGGCUUUGACGGGUAGCCGGCCUGAGAGGGUGACCGGCCACAUUGGGACUGAGAUACGGCCCAGACUCCUACGGGAGGCAGCAGUGGGGAAUAUUGCACAAUGGGCGGAAGCCUGAUGCAGCAACGCCGCGUGCGGGAUGACGGCCUUCGGGUUGUAAACCGCUUUCGCCUGUGACGAAGCGUGAGUGACGGUAAUGGGUAAAGAAGCACCGGCUAACUACGUG
rnacentral:rRNA from 1 species